rnacentral:rRNA from 1 species
UACGGGGGGGGCAAGCGUUGUUCGGAAUUACUGGGCGUAAAGGGUGCGUAGGCGGUCCGCUAAGUUAGAUGUGAAAACUCUGGGCUCAACCCAGAGCCUGCAUCUAUACUGACGGGCUAGAGUUCUGGAGGGGGUAGCGGAAUUCCUGGUGUAGCGGUGAAAUGCGUAGAUAUCAGGAGGAACACCUGUGGUGUAGACAGCUUACUGGACCAUUUCUGACGCUGAGACACGAAAGCGUGGGUAGCAAACAGG